GAUGAACGCUGGCGGCGUGCCUAAUACAUGCAAGUCGAGCGAACAGAUGAGGAGCUUGCUCCUCUGACGUUAGCGGCGGACGGGUGAGUAACACGUGGAUAACCUACCUAUAAGACUGGGAUAACUUCGGGAAACCGGAGCUAAUACCGGAUAAUAUAUUGAACCGCAUGGUUCAAUAGUGAAAGACGGUUUUGCUGUCACUUAUAGAUGGAUCCGCGCCGCAUUAGCUAGUUGGUAAGGUAACGGCUUACCAAGGCAAGGAUGCGAAGCCGACCUGAGAGGGUGAUCGGCAACCCGGGAACGAGGACACGGUCCAAACUCCUACGGGAGGCAGCAGUAGGGAAUCUUCCGCAGUGGGCGAAAGCCUGACGGAGCAACGCGGCGUGAGUGAUGAAGGUCUUCGGAUCGUAAAACUCUGUUAUUAGGGAAGAACAAAUGUGUAAGUACCAUGAACGUCUUGACGGUACCUAAACAAAAAGCCACGGCUAACUACGUG
rnacentral:rRNA from 1 species